UGCAUAGUCAGGAUUAAUAAACACAUCAUUUGCAGAGGAAAGGUGCAUAAUCCAGAGCUGGAUGUUUUCAACUAACACUUUUUCUAGGGUCAAGAUCUUUACCAAUCAAAGCAAGUGAGAGAUAAGCAAAUUGCUUGCAUACUUGGAAAGGCACCAACAAUUGCAGCAGCGGCAUAUUGUUGAUGGGUUUGCAUAUCUCAUCCUUGGAGAUGGACUCUAUAACUUCAUCAAAGUACUGUCUUUCACCAUCAGAAGCUUCCAUGGUAGAUUGAAAUGGAAGGACCCUCAGAACAGGCAAUGUAGGAUCUAGAAAUUCAGAACAUUCUAUCUGACCCCAUCUUGUGUGCAAUAUCAAACUGCAGGUU